GAUGAAGAACGUAGUGAAAUGCGAUACUUGGUGUGAAUUGCAGAAUCCCGUGAACCAUCGGGUCUUUGAACGCAAGUUGCGCCCGAAGCCAUUAGGCCGAGGGCACGCCUGCCUGGGCGUCACACGUCGUUGCCCCCCCAUCUACUCCUUCGGGAUUGCGGGGGGCGGAUGAUGGCCUCCCGUGCGCCUCGCCGCGCGGUUGGCAUAAAUGCCAAGUCCUCGGCGACGCACGCCACGACAAUCGGUGGUUGCGAAACCUCGGUUGCCCGUCGUGUGCGGUCGUCGCGCAUCGAGGGCUCGAAAAAAUUGCCGGGUUCCGGCUCGGCUUUCAACGCGACCCCAGGUCAGGUGGGGUUACCCGCUGAAUUUAAGCAUAUCAAUAAGCGGAGGA
rnacentral:misc_RNA from 1 species